CUUCUGGGCCUUUGUGGACUAGCGGCACAGCGCGGCGCCUGACUGGCAGGAGGGGAAAGCGGAGACUUCUUCAGGUUUCCGAAGACGUCCGAGCGGACAGCAUCAGGAAAUCUUGAAGAGUCUUACACUUUUAAACCUCCAGCCACUGAUGGUUCUGUGAAGACAUUGCAGUGAGGUGGUGGGAGCAAAAAGCAACUGCAUUCCUGGCCCUUUACAAUCUAGUUAAGAAUUUGAGUGACGGAAUGUUGGCGCCAGCUGUGGAAGAGCUUAUCAGCCUCAACUCCAA